CAUGGCCGCUGCUGCUUCUUCGUGUGGCCGCCGUCGUACAGCUCAUGGACGUGCUAGCCGUGACCCCCUCCAUUUGUCUCUGCUGCCAAGGCUAUGGAGAAUCGCUGGAAACGAAAAUUAAUGGAGAAGCAUCUCACAGUUGUUAAGACAUCAUUGCAUCCACCAGCGAGAAGAUAGCAUUCAUCGCAAUGACGGCUAGCUGCACGAUGAAGGACCAGUAUGCGCUCCUCGACAACGCGCCGUUGUUGAUGGGCCUCCUAGACGACCUUGCCGUGUACUACCGCCCGUCGGUCUGUUGCUGAUGCAGGUGACGGAUUCCGCGUGCAGCGGGUUCGUAGUCGGUGUGACGUGAAACCACAUGCUAGCCGACGGCAUGGUGUAGUUCCUCGAGGACGUAUGCGGCCUCACUCGCGCAGGGCGGCGUGGGCCUUGUGUUUCUGGACAUCACGGUCCUGGCGAUGCUCUUGUGGACACGCAUGGCACAUGGCAGCGGUGGAAGAGCCUUGUGGCGUGGUGACGACCUCCAAAAUUUGCCUAGGAUGCUCAAAUCAACUCAGUUUAAUUUGAUCAUUCAGCUAUCUGGAUGAUUUGGCAGCUCAAAUAGAUCAAGGGAAGUUUCUUCUUUGUUCAUGUUUUACUAUAAUAAUGCUUAAAUAGAUCAGAAAACAACAUUAUAUAUUUAUAUUUAAUAGUAUUCGCAUUGCUUUGACAGCCCAAAUAGAUGAAGGGAAGCUUCUACUGGUUGUUUCUUUAAUUCAGAGAUGGGCCACAAAAGUAACACUGCAUGUCUUACGACUAAAUGGUAUGUAUCUAGGAUUCCGUCGCCGGAAAGCUGAGGUGAGGUCUAACUAUUCUUUAACUUCUGUUUUCCUAGCUAUUGGUGCAUAUAUCAUGAUUAUUGAAUUAAAUAGCGCGCCUGUUUAACUAAAUAUUAACAAUGGCAGAGAACCACAAUGUAAUCAAGUAGGGAAGAAACUAGAAUCUGCUAUCCAAUGUUCCACUUGAUGUCCGAUUCAGUUUGCAUUUUUGGAAGUCCUCCCAAUUCAUUCUUUUGAAUUAUGGCCAACAUAUUUUACAUAUUUUGUAGUAUCGAAAAUGUACUUAGUUAAUGUUUGCUCCUCUUCCUUUUAAUUGAUUUCACGGACCUUUCACAUUAGCAUCUGCCUGAUGACCGAUUGUUCUUUGUUCUCAUUCUUACCUGGUAAGUUGGCUAUAGCUGCAAACAAACUGUAAAUGCACCAGUAUGUGCUAUCUAAAUUCUGUGUCAGUGAUUCAUAUAAACCGACUCAUGUUACUUUGCUAAGGACACCCACUGCUUGAAGUUUCCAUACUACCACAUGCGCUCUCCAAUGCAAAUUAAGUCUUAGUACAACCAGAUUGUGUGUUUUGCAUGAUUUUUCUUCGGUCGUUGUUAUGUACGUGGUCCACUAUUUUCUUUCCCUUUUCUCUAUUGCCCAUUGUUGUCUAGAGAUUUGUACUUUUAUUAUUUUAUAAUGGGCCUUUAACAUUCCUGCUGUGCUGUAAGAUGGAAGUACUUCAUGUGACACUUGAAUAUACUCCUAUGCACAUUAAGUCAUUAACUUAAAAUUUGCAAUGGGAUAGACUUGCAAAAUAUCUUAGACUUCCAAAUCUAGGAAGUCUUUUAUUGGUGUGAUGCAUAUAUGUAUUCCAUUCUAGGAGUACCAACUCGAUUACCAAUGUUACUCCUCAGGAAAUCAGAGGCAUUUUUUAAGUUAUAGGUCAAACGGUGAAGUUAUGGUAUUAUACCUGGACCUGGAUCAAUUUACAUGCUCUUACUGUUAUUUAGAGAUUCUUUGAAUGUUGCAAGCAACUUGAUGCUUCAUGUUUUGUUCAGGUCUGCAACUUAUAAUUCAGUUUUCUUUCUCCCAAGAAAUGGAUGACGUCGCGUGUUCUAUCUUUGUGUGAAAUUUAUAUCAUAAUGUUAAUAACUAGCAUUUGAAAACAAGUAAUGGCAGUUGUUGUGGGUCAACCAAGCUUAGGUUCAUUCAACUGUUUUUCUCUCUGUUCUGAAGAGGCAGUUGCUGAUCAGAUGGGAUUCCAGCAAGACAUAAUUAAUUGAGAAUGUGAGGUUUCCUUUUUGUUAGUAUUGUGAUUAACUUCCGCGUUAAGGGCACGAAUGGAUUUUGCGUUAAGGGCAUGAAUGGAUUUUUGUCAAGAGAUUGAUGUCUCUUCAAUUGAUGCAGGUAUGGGCAGGUAUACCAUGAGGUGGUUACACAUUGUUUAUAGAUUAUUGUAGUGCCUAUGUUUUGUCAGAAUAUAGUACAUUUUCCUUCUUGACUGAUCUUGAUCGAUUCACAUAUCAACGUGUUGGGUGAAUAUUCUGGGGUUCAAAUGCUAAUCUGAGAGGAUGAACAUGAACAUAAUUCUUUGUCUCCAGAGACACUGAGAGCAGAAGCAUACUAUGUAUAGUACAAGCAAGAAGUUACCUACAUAGGAGAGACAACAUUAUUAACAUUGCUGUCCAGCCAAAGGCAAGAGAAUUCUCAGCAGUAGUGUUGUAGAAGUUACGUAUUGUAGUUUCAGUUUGUACAAAUAUAAGAUAGUACCCGAAUAUAUUGCUACAUGUAACAUAGUUUUCAUUUAAUAUGU